rnacentral:tRNA from 1 species
GGAGAGAUGGCAGAGCGGUCUAAUGCACCACCUUGGAAAGGUGGCGUGCCUGAAAGGGUACCGGGAGUUCGAAUCUCCCUCUCUCCG